UGGGGAAUAUUGGACAAUGGGCGCAAGCCUGAUCCAGCCAUGCCGCGUGAGUGAUGAAGGCCUUAGGGUUGUAAAGCUCUUUUACUCGGGAAGAUAGUGACGGUACCGAGAGAAUAAGCCCCGGCUAACUUCGUGCCAGCAGCCGCGGUAAUACGAAGGGGGCUAGCGUUGUUCGGAAUUACUGGGCGUAAAGCGCACGUAGGCGGAUCUUUAAGUCAGAGGUGAAAUCCCAAGGCUCAACCUUGGAACUGCCUUUGAUACUGGGGAUCUUGAGUCCGGAAGAGGUGAGUGGAACUGCGAGUGUAGAGGUGAAAUUCGUAGAUAUUCGCAAGAACACCAGUGGCGAAGGCGGCUCACUGGUCCGGUACUGACGCUGAGGUGCGAAAGCGUGGGGAGCAAACAG
rnacentral:rRNA from 1 species